CGUGAGAUGUUGGGUUAAGUCCCGCAACGAGCGCAACCCUUAUCCUUAGUUGCUACGAAGGGCACUCUAGGGAGACUGCCGGUGACAAACCGGAGGAAGGUGGGGAUGACGUCAAGUCCUCAUGGCCCUUAUGUGUAGGGCUUCACACGUCAUACAAUGGUCGGUACAGAGGUCGCCAACCCGCGAGGGGGAGCCAAUCCCAGAAAACCGAUCGUAGUCCGGAUUGCAGUCUGCAACUCGACUGCA
rnacentral:rRNA from 1 species